UCCCUGGUGGUCCAGUGGUUAAGACUUCAGCUUCCAAUGCAGAGGGUACAGGUUUGAUUCCUGGUUGGGGAA
rnacentral:tRNA from 1 species